rnacentral:rRNA from 1 species
UACGUAGGCAGCAAGCGUUGUUCGGAGUUACUGGGCGUAAAGGGUGUGUAGGCGGUUCUUUAAGUUUGGUGUGAAAUCUCCCGGCUCAACUGGGAGGGUGCGCCGAAUACUGAGGGACUAGAGUACGGGAGAGGAAAGUGGAAUUCCUGGUGUAGCGGUAGAAAUGCGUAGAUAUCAGGAGGAACACCGGUGGUGUAGACGGCUUUCUGGACCGUAACUGACGCUGAGACAGAAAGCGUGGGUAGCAAACAGG